GGCAUUGUGGUCAGAGAAUAUACAAAUCGCUGAAGAAUCCCAUUGUUUAUGGACAUUCCUGGGAUAGUAUUCAUUUAAAUAUCUCUAUGUACACUGUAAUGGACUAUAAUACAAAAAUGG
rnacentral:lncRNA from 1 species